AUUGAACGCUGGCGGCAUGCCUUACACAUGCAAGUCGAACGGCAGCACGGGGGCAACCCUGGUGGCGAGUGGCGAACGGGUGAGUAAUACAUCGGAACGUGUCCUGGAGUGGGGGAUAGCCCGGCGAAAGCCGGAUUAAUACCGCAUACGCUCUAUGGAGGAAAGGGGGGGAUCUUCGGACCUCCCGCUCAAGGGGCGGCCGAUGGCAGAUUAGCUAGUUGGUGGGGUAAAGGCCUGCCAAGGCGACGAUCUGUAGCUGGUCUGAGAGGACGACCAGCCACACUGGGACUGAGACACGGCCCAGACUCCUACGGGAGGCAGCAGUGGGGAAUUUUGGACAAUGGGCGCAAGCCUGAUCCAGCAAUGCCGCGUGUGUGAAGAAGGCCUUCGGGUUGUAAAGCACUUUUGUCCGGAAAGAAAACCUCGUGGUUAAUACCCGUGGGGGAUGACGGUACCGGAAGAAUAAGCACCGGCUAACUACGUGCCAGCAGCCGCGGUAAUACGUAGGGUGCAAGCGUUAAUCGGAAUUACUGGGCGUAAAGCGUGCGCAGGCGGUUCGCUAAGACAGAUGUGAAAUCCCCGGGCUUAACCUGGGAACUGCAUUUGUGACUGGCGGGCUAGAGUAUGGCAGAGGGGGGUAGAAUUCCACGUGUAGCAGUGAAAUGCGUAGAGAUGUGGAGGAAUACCGAUGGCGAAGGCAGCCCCCUGGGCCAAUACUGACGCUCAUGCACGAAAGCGUGGGGAGCAAACA
rnacentral:rRNA from 1 species